rnacentral:lncRNA from 1 species
CCAGCACAAUUUAGUUCCUCUUCCACGAGACCCAGUUCCACCCAUGAUAGACCCAAACUAUAUUGAGAGGUACAAGAGACUAAACCCAUCUACCUUUGUAGGGGCAUCCUCUUUUGAAGAGGCUGAGUUUUAGUUAGCUGAGACAGAGAAGGUCUUCGCGACUCUUGGCGUAGUUCCUGAACAGAAAGUUAUACUUACCAUCUAUAUGCUUGUGGGAUAGGCAGGCCCGCUGAUGGCAGCUCAAGCAUGCCACCCUGCUCGUUUCAGUCACUUACGAAUAGUUCCUGAUGACCUUCAAUAUAGAGUAUCUCCUAGAGCACCUCCAACAUUUGAAUGAGAUGGAGUUUGCACACCUUGUUCAGGGUAAGAUAACUGUGUCAGAAUAUGCUUGAAGGUUCUUAGAAAUUGGCCUGUUUUUCCCUGAGAGCAUGAUGAAUGAAGGUAGGAUGGCAAGGAAGUUCGAUUGGGGCCUCCGCCCUAAGAUCAGACAGCAACUGUACGUAUUUGAGCUCAGUACUUACUUAGCUAUUAUGGUCAAGACACAUAAUGGAAAGGAACCUUCGCAUAUUUUCUCCAGCAAUGGGGAAACCUUGACCUUCGGUCUCACAGUAUAGACCAGCAUCCACUACACCAGCUCAGUAGAACAAAAGGCUUAGACCAGCGACUCAGGCUCCUCCUCAGAU